GUUGUGGCUGCACUGCACAAGCUUCACACCGGGCAUUUGCGGCGACUAGAAAACGUAGAGGCUUUGAGGCAGCAAAGGAAAGAACAGAAUAUGACCGCUAACUAGCUAUUCGCCAACACAUUCUUCCCGCCUCUAUCGUAAGGUUUUCAAGUGGGAAAAGGUUUUCGUAGUUCAGAAAGCUUACCUUCUAUGCGCACCGUCCGGCUAGUGCUUCAUGCUACCAGUGGCGGGUGCAGUGGCGCGACCUGAUCAGCUCGUUUGCAAAGCAAUUUCACCUGGGACUAGCAGUGGGUAGGCAGCGUAUCUCCGUCACCGUGGUCUCGGUGGUCUCCUAGCAUAACGCCUCGCGCUGCAGAAGGCAGCACGUCUUUCUACCCAGCUUGCUGGCUCCCAGAGUGACGAUGAAUCCCUAUUCCGUGUCGGGUGAACGACGCCUCGAGCCGACACCCUCAGCGGCAUGGCAGAGCCGUUCUGUCUUCGUGCUGCAUUCGCGCUAGUGGUUUAGGCGCUCCGGAGGGUGCGCACGGUAGGAUCGGCGCACGAGAGAAUGUACGGAAAAUUCCAAAGGCGGGCGUUUUCUCGUAGCUAUUUAAAAAAGAGGCGAGAAAAGGAAGCACUUGAAGUGAGCUGUGAAGUUGCAUCAAGACUACUUCAAGUAUAUGCAUCGAACUUCAUAGAUCGUGGUUCUAGAGAAAUCUUACCACAAAAUGAACCGCUUCGUUUCCUCUUAGUUUUCAUUUUGCGAAACGCUUUUCCUUGGUAUGCGGAGAGUUCCGCCCAGGUUUUCUGGGCAUGCUGAUCUCUCGGGGUGGGAUCAAUGAGGGUAACAUCCGAAGAAAAGAAACGUUCCUCUUGAAUCCUCCGGAAAGGUGUGUUAGCCUGGGGGACUCUCUUCGCUCUGUCGGAUUUUGGGGCAGCCUGUGGGUGAGGAUUCAGCUUGGAGCUAGAGGCACCAGCCACGUCGCACUGACUUUUGUCACCAGAGCCUUCUACAAUGAUGCUUCCUGCUGAGUCAUCUCUGGGGUCGGACAAAAUGGUUUGCGUGGAUGACUGACUUUUGCGCCCCAUCGCAGACACGGGUUUCGUUACCCGAGGCGCCAUAUCAGUAGAUUGCGCUAGCAUUCCUGGAUGGGAAUCAAUUUGUGAUGCACUGAAAGCGCUCCCUAUUUGUUCGUUUGAACUGCAAGCGCGCAGUCCAUCAAAUGCGAUCCCAUUUCCACCGUCUUCCAUCGCUGCGCGCGGCUUGUAUCUAGGAUCCGCAUCUUUGCUAGAGUGAAGUCUCUCUGGUUUCCUGAAACCUGCGCAAACGUUUGACUUUUGAGCUUUCGUAUGGCAAUUCUCAGUUAAGGAAUGCCAGCUUGAACAAGGAGAUCCGUGCUCUCUACGCGUUCGUUUGUCUAAAGGUUUCCCCGUAUCUCUUUUCUGAUGAUUUUGGAUCUGAUUUGCACAGACUGGCAAGUCUCCUCCGUCUUGCGCAUGAAACCGAUAUUGCUCUUCUAAAGAAUCCCA